rnacentral:lncRNA from 1 species
CAGGUGCAGCAGUCCUGUAAAACACGCCCACACACAUUAGCUAAGUGUUAAAGACUGAAAGUUCAAAAACUUAAGGCAGUCGUAAAAUAUUAGUCAACGCCUGUGAGAAAUGAGGCUGUCCCUUUAUUCAGGGUGUCAGUGUUUAAUGGUAAGCUGGGAUGCAUAUAAGCUAGUCCAAGCAUGAAGGGCAGUAGGACACUCAUAUGAAAAGCCAACUUUGUUCCUCAGUUAUCAAGAUAAGAAACCUGUCAUUUCUCUCAUUCACUCUGUCAGCCUUGAGAUACUCCAAGCAGACUUACCUCUGUGUUGUACACCCCAUAUAUCAGGAAGAUGAAGAGACCCUGUAAAAUAAAAUGGAGGGGAAAAGCUGUUAACGCUAAUCAUUUCAGCAGUAGAAAUACCUGAAAUAAACUUUCCUGGGAACAGACAAAAGAAGACACACUUCAUCAAGGUCAAUUUAUUUUCCUAUUUUUCAACAUUAGAAGGUGUACCUUGAGCAUUUAUAUGAUAACAUAGCAAGCACAUCACUUAUAAUGGUUGUGCUAUUCAAUUCUUUA